AGCUUUGUGCAGUGGCAGUAUCAUAGCUAAUGAGGUUUAUCCAAGGUGUGGUUGUUGCUAAUAAAAUGCACUUUGGUCAUCUCCGCC
rnacentral:snRNA from 1 species